GCCCUUAUAGCUCAGUGGUAGAGCGCAGUACGUAUGUUAAGAUUUACCUCUCAAAAACACCUCCUAUUUCAUUGUUACUAAUAGAUCCUAGUUGUAUUAUACCUCGAUAUACUGAGGCCCGCGGUUCGAUCCCGCGUGGGGGCA